UACCAGCACCCCGAGUGGUCGGGACGUUUUAUUGGGCCUAAAGCAUCCGUAGCCGGUUCUACAAGUUUUCCGUUAAAUCCACCUGCUUAACAGAUGGGCUGCGGAAGAUACUAUAGAGCUAGGAGGCGGGAGAGGCAAGCGGUACUCGAUGGGUAGGGGUAAAAUCCGUUGAUCCAUUGAAGACCACCAGUGGCGAAGGCGGCUUGCCAGAACGCGCUCGACGGUGAGGGAUGAAAGCUGGGGGGAGCAAACCGG
rnacentral:rRNA from 1 species